CUCAACAAAGGAAGUAAUAUGUUGUUGUUCAUAUCUUAAGAUGGGCAUCUUUUGUGAAAUGGCAAGUGACUAAGCUUUUGAAAUGAAAAACGACAUUUAAGCUUGUGAGCAUGAAUAAUUUGUUGCCAGAUUUAUAUCAUUGGGUUAAAUAUUUUGUUGCCAGAUUUAUAUCAUUGGAUUAAGUAUUUUGUUGCCAGAUUUAUAUCAUUGGAUUAAGUAUUUUGUUGCCAGAUUUAUAUCAUUGGAAUAAGUAUUUUGUUGCCAGAUUUAUAUCAUUGGAUUAAGGUAUGAAACUAAAAUGUUAUUAUCUAGAUUAGACCGUGUUCCUGGUUGAAUUUGAACUUUUAAAGGUCCAAAUCAAAUACCAAAAGGAUGACUCUUAAUUCUGAGGUUAAUGUCAAAGAAUUUUCCACUGAAGAGCCGUAGAGCGAAAGCGCUUUGGAAUACAUGUGAAAUCACUGAAAUAUUUGUAUGCUUCAAGUUUUAAAACACAUCUUUAUUUCUGGACCUAGAAUAUUAAGUUUCUGCUAAAGGCAUAUGUCUAUGACCUACGUAUUGCAGUUCUGUUUUAAAUUAUAUCAAGUUUUAGUCACAUAUAAGAGACCGGUAGCCUCUUCGUAGGGAACACAUAACACAAUACUGGAUUCAUCGAAUACCUUUCAUCUGGCACAAAAGCUCCAAUAUCUUCAGCAGGAUAUUUGUCGCAAAGAAACAAGUGUAGCGGUCAGACGGGUUUGAUCACCAGUGGACAGAGAACUCCUGACUAUAGACUAUAGAGAUUCAGGGGGCUCCGGGUUCGAAUCACGGUCCGGUCCCACUCGGAUCACUUUGGCCGAUUCCAUCUAACUAGAUGUAGGGUACCGGAGUCUGCCGAUUGGCCCGGUCCGUUGAACUUUUCCCUUCCCGUUACAUUUGGUGUCGUUGACCAUCGCUGGACUUGCAAGUGAAAGUCCUGCGAGGGGAAAAAGAAUCUGGAUAAUGCCAUCAAGGAAGGAGGAAUAUCGCGUUCAGAUAGCUCAGUUGGUAGAGCGCUUCAAGGGGCUAGGGUUUGAAUCCCGGUCUGGUCCUUUGCAUUUCCCUUUUCCGGUAACACAAGAUAGGAUGCAAGUGAGUUACGCGAAUUGAAAUGACACGCAAAAUAAUGUCUUACAGGUGAAACAUCGCGCAUGUCCUUAAUUAAGGACCAAAGAGCAUCUUUACUCUUUCUUGCUUUCAGUUGUCUUAUUUAACGCCAAAAUGGUGUGAGGGAUUAUAUUUUUCGUGGAAUCAAAUUACAUUGUAUCUCUUCAUUCCUUCAAUUGAAAGCAUGGACUAUUUUUUGGUCUCCAGUAGAAAAAUCACAAGAUAUUUCAACCUAUGGGAACAAGUCUUAACUGACAACAGUAAAAGAACAUACCAGAUGUAUUUUUAACUUGUUUACCUCUUAUUUUUAUUAAGCUUUCAACAGUUCAAUUAAUGUCAAUAUGUACCUUAUUACUCCAAUAUUAUUAUGGGGAAAAGUCCAAACUAUCAAAGCACUUAAAGUAUGGCAGAACUAACAGUUAAUGAGCAAAAUCCUCUAUCAGAGGAAAUUCUGUCUCUAGUUCUGCUUUCAAGCAGAGACAUAUAUACAUGUUCAUGCAGUGUUUAUACACCAAAAGGACAAAAUUUGAAAUUAACGAUAGUUGGUCUAGCGGAAUUUGAAGAUCAUCUGGUAUGACCUUGAUUACAAAUACAAAGAAUUGCGACACCCAGAUUUUGCGUGUCAAAAUACUGUAUAAACUCUUCAGGUGUUGUAUACGAAGUAUCACAUCUCAACGCGUCUCAUGAAAAUGAAAAGAACCCGUCCUAAACGUGAUCAACUACCAAGUCAGUCCGAAUUGUUGAUAUCGCAUGAAUAAUUAAGUGAAAUCACCUAGAGGAUUAUUUGUAAAGGGCGAAUAUAUACCUUUUACAUCACCUAUUCAAAGGAGUACGUGACGUCAUUAAAGAUUACAUGUAUAUCAGUUAACAUCAAUACCAAAAAUGGCACCUCACACUUUAAAAUAUUCUUGUGAGAUAUGAUCCAAGGCAAGGACUCCGUGCUAUAUAUGUAACGACCUAAUUUCUGUUCUAUUUCCUAAAUACAGAUAAAAUGUAAACGAUUUCAUUUCAUCCACCUUUAUUAUAACUUUCUGUUUUGUAGCCGUUACGUGUUCUAGACCGACACUAUUCAACGUGAACCUACUUGUAAAAAAAGGCAGCUGACGUGUCACCAAAAAUAAAAAUACAAUUACAACUAAAAUAUGAAAUAUAAUGCUUCAUAAAAUUCAGUAUAAAUACUACAAUCACAUUAUCUGGGACGGAGUGAUGGUGAUUAGACACUAUAUACAUAAAAAUCAUCAUCUGGUAUAAAAUCAAGAUGAUUUAAAUAUCACAUGUCAAUGGAAUAAGCAUUUGCAACACGAUAAAAAUAAUUAUCAUUCAGAUUUAACUAAAGACAAUCUGAGAUACAUAAAACUCCACCAAAAUACAUGUAGGAGCACUCAAUGACCUUGCAUACAAGCAUACACCU